rnacentral:tRNA from 1 species
CGGAGAAUAGUUUAAUGAAAAACACCGGCAUUGGAAGCCGGAGAUUGGUUGGCCCAUUCCCCGA